rnacentral:rRNA from 1 species
CCUUGAUGGCGACCGGCGCACGGGUGAGCAACACGUAUCCAACCUGCCGAUAACUCGGGGAUAGCCUUUCGAAAGAAAGAUUAAUACCCGAUGGCAUAAUAGAACCGCAUGGUUUGAUUAUUAAAGAAUUUCGGUUAUCGAUGGGGAUGCGUUCCAUUAGGCAGUUGGUGGGGUAACGGCCCACCAAACCUUCGAUGGAUAGGGGUUCUGAGAGGAAGGUCCCCCACAUUGGAACUGAGACACGGUCCGA